rnacentral:rRNA from 1 species
UAUGGCGAGAAGUGGCAAACUGCUCAGUAACACGUAGCUAACCUACCCUCGGGACGGAGACAACCCCGGGAAACUGGGGUUAAUCCCCGAUAGGCGUGGAUUCCUGGAAUGGUUUCACGCCGAAACGUUAACACACCAUGUUUGUGUGCACGCCCGAGGAUGGGGCUGCGGCCGAUCAGGCUGUUGGUGAGGUAACGGCUCACCAAACCUUUGACCGGUACGGGCCGUGAGAGCGGUAGCCCGGAGAUGGACACUGAGACAAGGGUCCAGGACCUACGGGUCGCAGCCGGUACGAAACCUCCACAAUGCACGAAAGUGCGAUGGGGUUACCUCGAGUGCCGCCUGAAGAAGGCGGCUUUUCCAUUGUGUAAUGAGCCGUGGGAAUAAGGGGGGGGCAAGACUGGUGUCAGCCGCCGCGGUAACACCAGCCCCCCGAGUGGUGGGGAUGUUUAUUUGGCCUAAAACGUCCGUAGCCGGCUCGGUAAAUCUCUCGUUAAAUCCAGCGUCCUAAGCGUUGGGCUGCGAGAGAGACUGCCGAACUAGAGGGUGGGAGAGGUCAGCGGUAUUUCUGGGGUAGGGGCGAAAUCCAUUGAUCCCAGGAGGACCACCAGUGGCGAAGGCUGCUGACUAGAACACGCCUGACGGUGAGGGACGAAAGCUGGGGUAGCGAAUCGGAUUAGAUACCCGAGUAGUCCCAGCCGUAAACGAUGCAGGCUAGGUGUUGGGUUGGCCACGCGCCGACUCAGUGCCACAGGGAAGCCAUUAAGCCUGCUGCCUGGGGAGUACGGUCGCAAGGCUGAAACUUAAAGGAAUUGGCGGGAGAGCACCACCAGGCGUGAAGCCUGCGGUUUAAUUGGA